CGGUAAUACGGAGGAUCCGAGCGUUAUCCGGAUUUACUGGGUUUAAAGGGUGCGCAGGCGGGCCGUCCCGCCCGUGGUGAAACCCCGGGGCUCAACCCCGGGCUUGCCGUGGGAACAGGCGGUCUUGGAUGCGGUGGAGGCUGGCGGAAUGCGUGGUGUAGCGGUGAAAUGCUUAGAUAUCACGUGGAAGACCGAUUGCGAAGGCAGCUGGCCGCGCCGCGAUUGACGCUGAGGCACGAAAGCGUGGGUAGCGAACGGGAUUAGAUACCCCGGUAGUCCACGCCGUAAACGAUGAUCACUGGCUGUUGGCCCUUCGGGGUCGGUGGCUGCGCGAAAGCAUUAANUGAUCCACNUGGGGANUACGGCCNCAAGGCUGAACUCAAAGAAUUGACGGGGGCCCNCACANCGGAGAACAUGUGNUUAAUUCAU
rnacentral:rRNA from 1 species